CCUACGGGAGGCAGUAGUGGGGAAUAUUGGACAAUGGGCGAAAGCCUGAUCCAGCAAUGCCGCGUGAGUGAUGAAGGCCUUAGGGUUGUAAAGCUCUUUUACCAGGGAUGAUAAUGACAGUACCUGGAGAAUAAGCUCCGGCUAACUCCGUGCCAGCAGCCGCGGUAAUACGGAGGGAGCUAGCGUUGUUCGGAAUUACUGGGCGUAAAGCGUACGUAGGCGGUUAUUCAAGUCAGAGGUGAAAGCCUGGAGCUCAACUCCAGAACUGCCUUUGAAACUAGAUAGCUAGAAUCUUGGAGAGGUGAGUGGAAUUCCGAGUGUAGAGGUGAAAUUCGUAGAUAUUCGGAAGAACACCAGUGGCGAAGGCGACUCACUGGACAAGUAUUGACGCUGAGGUACGAAAGCGUGGGGAGCAAACAGGAUUAGAUACCCUGGUAGUCCACGCCGUAAACGAUGAUAACUAGCUGUUCGGGCUCUACGAGCUUGAGUGGCGCAGCUAACGCAUUAAGUUAUCCGCCUGGGGAGUACGGUCGCAAGAUUAAAAACUCAAAAUGAAUUGACGG
rnacentral:rRNA from 1 species